rnacentral:rRNA from 1 species
GACGAACGCUGGCGGCGUGCUUAACACAUGAAAGUCGAACGGAAAGGCCCUGCGUUUGUGGGGUGCUCGAGUGGCGAACGGGUGAGUAACACGUGAGUAACCUGCCCUUGACUUUGGGGUAACUUCAGGAAACUGGGGCUCAUACCGGAUAGGAGCUCCUGCUGCAUGGUGGGGGUUGGAAAGUUUCGGCGGUGGGGGAAGGAUGCGCGGCGUAUCAGCUUGUUGGUGGGUAGUGGCUUACCAAGGCUUUGACGGGUAACCGGCCUGAGAAGGUGACCGGCUACAUUGGAGCUGAGGUACGGCCCAGUCUUCCAUGGGAGGCAGCGGUCGGGAAUAUUGCACUACGGGCCGACGCCUGAUGCGGCAGCGCUGCGUGCGGGAGGAUGGCCUUCGAGUUGUGAACCGCUUUCGCAUGUUACGUACCGGGAGUGACGGUACUGGGUCAAGAAGCCCCGGCUAACUACGUG